AUUGAACGCUGGCGGCAGGCCUAACACAUGCAAGUCGAGCGGAUGAAGGGAGCUUGCUCCUGGAUUCAGGGCGGACGGGUGAGUAAUGCCUAGGAAUCUGCCUGGUAGUGGGGGAUAACGUCCGGAACCGGGCGCUAAUACCGCAUACGUCCUGAGGGAGAAAGUGGGGGAUCUUCGGACCUCACGCUAUCAGAUGAGCCUAGGUCGGAUUAGCUAGUUGGUGGGGUAAAGGCCUACCAAGGCGACGAUCCGUAACUGGUCUGAGAGGAUGAUCAGUCACACUGGAACUGAGACACGGUCCAGACUCCUACGGGAGGCAGCAGUGGGGAAUAUUGGACAAUGGGCGAAAGCCUGAUCCAGCCAUGCCGCGUGUGUGAAGAAGGUCUUCGGAUUGUAAAGCACUUUAAGUUGGGAGGAAGGGCAGUAAGUUAAUACCUUGCUGUUUUGACGUUACCAACAGAAUAAGCACCGGCUAACUUCGUG
rnacentral:rRNA from 1 species